ACUUGGAGUUGACUCAGACUUUGUCUCGCCUGAUCUUCGAUCACUUUCUUUCAAAACCAUCUGAAAUUUCUUAAAAAAAAAAAAAAAAGAAAACCAACUCAUUGAGAUUAGUGUUUCCUGCUGCGAAGGAAGAAAUCUAGAAAUGGCAGAAGGCUUCCUGUUCAAUUUUGCUGAACGACUCUUGGUGGGUCUGGCAUCAUUGGCUCACCAAGAACUUGGUUUGCCCUGGCGUAUCAAAGAAGAAAUCACCAAGCUCAAAGACACUUUUUCCUUGAUCAAAGGUGUGCUUCGUGAUGCUGAGGAGAAACAAAGAAACCACAACCAUGAAGUGACGGUCUGGCUCGGACAGCUCAAAGAUGUGCUUUACGACGUGGAUGACUUGCUCGACGAUUUUUCCACUGAAGCUUUGCGGCGACAGAUACUGAGGCGGAAUGAAAUGGUUAAAAAGGUACGCGUUUUCUUCUCCAAAUCAAACCAGCUUGCAUAUAGUCUCAAGAUGGGUCAUAGAGUUAGUGCCAUUAGAAAGAGGCUAGAUAAAAUUGCAGCUGAUAGAACCAAAUUUCACUUUACCGACAGCCCGGUAGAGUCACUGCUUGAAGUUAAGGAGAGGGAUCAAACUUAUUCCUUUGUGCGUGAAGAAGAAAUAAUUGGAAGAGAUGAUGAUAAAAAGAAAAUUGUAAAACUAUUGCUACAAUCCGAACUCGAAGAAAAUGUUUCAAUUGUUCCCAUAAUAGGGAUUGGAGGAUUAGGAAAGACUACAUUAGCUAAAAUGGUGUUCAACGAUAAAAAUGUUGGAGAACAUUUCCAGCUAAAAUUGUGGGUUUGUGUCUCAGAGAAGUUUGAGCUAAAACUCAUUGUGGAAAAAAUCAUUGAGGCUGCAACUGGAAGCAAACCUGAAAGGGACCUCCAGAUGGAAACGCUGCAAAAUAUUCUUCGAGACAAAAUUAAUGGAAAGAAGUACUUGCUAGUCCUAGAUGAUGUAUGGAAUGAGGUCCGUGAAAAGUGGCUCAAUUUGAGAAAUUUGCUAUUAGGUGGUGCAAGGGGAAGUUGGAUUGUUAUCACUACUCGUAGUGGGCUGGUUGCAGAAAUCACAAGCACAGUUUUACCACAUGAGCUUGAAGGAUUGUCAAAAAGCCAAUCAUGGUCACUAUUGAAGCAAAUGGCAUUUAAAGAACAAAGCCACGAAUCUAAUGCUUCACACUUUGAAGCAAUUGGAAUGGAGAUUGUAGAGAAGUGUAAAGGGGUCCCUCUUGCCUUAAGGGCGAUAGGAAGUGUACUAUUUACAAGAACAGAAGCUGAAUGGGUAAAGGUGAAGAAUAAUAUAGUUAAGUAUAUAACUCAACAAGAAAGUGGUAUUAUGCCAGUUUUAAAGUUGAGUUAUGAUCAUCUUCCACCACAUUUGAGGCAAUGUUUUGCUUAUUGCUCUUUAAUUCUGAAGGACACUGAGUUUUGGGUUGAGGAUUUGAUCAUGUAUUGGAUGGCCCAAGGGUUUAUCCAGCCACUAAGUGGAGACCAAGAUCUAGAAGAUGUUGGGCAUGAGUAUUUCAUGGAUUUGCUUUGGAAAUCUUUUUUUCAGGUUGCAGAAGAAGAUGAUUCGGGAAAUGUGAAGAGAUUCACAAUGCACGAUCUAAUGCAUGAUCUUGCAUGCUCUGUUGCUGGGACUGAGUACUGCAUUGCAAGUCUAGAAGCAGAAAAUGCAGAUGAAAGAACUCGCCAUGUGUUAUUUGAAGAUGAAUUAGAUGCUUCUUGGAAAAUUCUAAGCACUUUGCACAAAGCAAAGAAACUAAGGACAAUAUUUCUUCCGGAUGGCAGCUUGAAUCAAUCCAUUUGCAAUGCACUUAUUUCUAAUUUUAGGUACCUACGCUCUUUGAAUUUGAGUUUCUCAGGUAUUGAGAGGUUACCGCAUUCCAUAGGCAAAUUGAAACAUUUAAGGGGUCUUUAUCUUAUUGGAAAUGAAAAUCUUAAAAAACUGCCUAGUUCUUUGUGUAGGCUACAGAAUUUGCAAACAUUACGUCUUUCUGGUUGCUCGGAUCUUGAAAAAUUGCCGAGGAAAACAAGAAGGUUAGUUAGCCUCAGAUAUCUAUAUAUUGAUGGUUGUGGUAGUUUGGCUUACAUGCCACGUGGACUAGGGCUACUAACUUGUCUGCGAACGUUAAAUGAGUUUAUUGUGGGAAAGAGAGGCAAGGGUGUUGGUGAGUUAAGGGAAUUGAAUGGACUGAACAACCUCAAAGGAAAAAUACGUAUUUCUUCUUUAAAAAAUGCUAUUCCAGAGCCUGGGUCUUCUUACUUGAAAGAAAAAUUGAAUUUGAAACACUUGAAAUUGAGCUGGAGAAAUGAGGAGAAUGAUGAGGAUGAUGAGGAGGAGGAGGAGGAGGAUGAUGCAAGUAAUGAGAAGUCUGAAUUGGUUUUUGAAGGCCUCGAGCCACACCCAAAUCUAGAGAUGCUUGUGGUGUAUGGGUAUCCAGGAAGCAAGAUUUGUAGCUGGCUGUCCUCCAUCACCAAUUUAACUCGACUUAUUUUAGAGGAUUGUGUUGAAUGCAAGCAUCUGCCACCACUGCAUCAGCUCGCUUCCCUGAAAUUUCUUAGGCUUUCAGGAUUAAAAGUUUUGGAGAAUGUGUCUGAGAUUGAAAUGCAAAAGGAGUUGUCUUCUUCAAAAUCAACAAAAUUUUUUCCAUCCUUAGAGGAACUCAACCUCAUGAAUUGCCCAAAUCUUAAGGGAUGGUGGAGCGGUGAUGUUGAUGAAGCUUCAAACGCACAGCUGCCUUACUUCCCUUGCCUUUCAGAUUUGACAAUACGAUGGUGCCCUAAUCUAACCUCUAUGCCGCUGUUUCCUUCUGUUCGGGAGCUGCAUUUGAAUGAAACCAGCUGGAAGCAACUUCAAGAGACAAUGAAAUUGAAGAUGACAACAUCAGAAGAACCAUCAUCUUCUUCACUUUUCCCUCCUUUCUCCAAAUUGACAAAAAUGUGGUUUGUAGAUAUCGAAGAACUAGAUUCUCUGCCAGAGGAGUUUCUACAAAACCUAACUUCUCUUUGGUCUCUGUACAUUGCAAGUUGCAGUAACUUGACAUCAAUGCCAAAGGGGAUGCACUUUCUCACCUCUUUACAAGAAUUGAGUAUUUGGGGAUGUCCCCAGCUAUCGGAAAGAUGCCAAAGGGAUAUUGGUGUGGACUGGCCAAAUAUUGCUCACAUUGAAAAUAUUUGUAUUGAUGGACGUGUGAUUUGAUCAAAUCAGGUUCACGCAUUUAGGAACCUUCCAUCGCUUACACAGUGUAUCAAUUUGUGACAGAUUAUGUCAAGGCUUAGAACAGAGUGAAACUUGAUGCCCCAGCUGCACUUGAAUUCAAGAAAUACUAUCAUCCAAUUCUGAUGCUGUACUAUUUGAAAUACAUUUGAGUGUUAUCUGAUUGCAUUUGUAAUUUUUAUUUUGUAAUAUGUAAUUAAAUUAAAAAUACAAAAAAAAAAGUGUCCUAAUAUGUAAGUAGUAUUGAAAUAUUCGAAACUUUUUGAAUUGGUGAUGUAAUUAGGCGU